UUGUGUAGAUGGAACUGCCAUUCACUGGCUUUGAGCUGACCUUCAUCAUCGUUGCCUUCAUCAUCUUCUCUCUCUUCAGUUUGGCUUCAGUCUGCUUUCAGCCACAGGCAGCCCAGCCAGAAAAAGAUGUCUAUCAAGUGAAGAAACUGCAGCCAUGUAACAGGAAGCAGAGAGUGAUCAUCAAAGAAGCUGGACAGAGCGCAUAAAGCAAACAUUAUAAACCUCAGCUGAGUGAAGGCAAAACUGAAAACACCGCUUACUGUUCUGUUUGUUUUGGAUUAGUGUUGACGCAAUGCCCAUUACAGUAGGUUCCCACAAUAAAGAUAAGGUGGCAAUAAACUUGUACCCUAUUAAUUAUACAGCUUCAUGAGUUAUGAGUAUCGCUAUAAGGUAAUCAUUAAGAAGUAUAACACAAAUUGCUAGUAGCAUAACGUGAUCUCAGCGUAUUUGUUUAGGUAUCUGGAGAGGACGAUUAGCUAAACUUGUAGAGCAAAGAUCGUGUUUGUACAGUUUACCACUGUAACACCACAUCUUUUCUUUCCUCUAUGAUAAUUUGCUCUUUAGCUCCAUCUACAGUUUUCAAAAAGCAUCAGCUGAAUUCUAAACUGAGGCCACGGAAAAGGAGGUUGAGUUAAAUGCCGGGAGCUGAAGAACCAGACAGAGCCGAACACUGAUGCACAGAUCUCUGACAAGCCGUGAUGUCUGAGUUAGGAUUUAACAAACCAAGUGACUUUAGGCCCCUGUAGCCCUCGUGGGGUGACAUCCCAGGGGGUUAGAGGCUGCUCCCUGUGGAGAAUGCCCCUCGACCCUUGAGCCCUCCGUCACUCCUCUGGAGUCAGCUGUCUAGCUGUUGACAUGAAGCGGAGGAGGAGCUCCAGAAUAAAGCAACUGAGGAAGUUUUUUUUUUUUUAAAGCCAGCGUCUUUGGUGUGUAAUGAUGAUCCUGUGUGUGUGUGUGUGUGUGUGUGUGUACUGGGUGUGUACUCCUGUUCAUGUGUAUAUGCAGCCAUUGAGGUUAGUAUUGGGCUGUUGAAGAGAUAAAGGGUCUUCAGAGUAAUUAAGCUCUGGCUGGAUGGCUACAGCCCUCAUUAACACUGACGAUAUUGUGGCAUGACAACAGACCCACUAUCACUCUAAUGAUGGUCAAUGAACUAACUCAACAGGCCACAAUCCACACCCGUGCACACAGACACAAGGGCAAAGACACACCCCUACAAAUUCAGACAUCACGGCACAUUUCAACUAUGACCACUCGUUUCAUCACCUACACUCUGCUCCUGAAUGAGAAACAGAGCAACCCACACAAGCUCUGGCCAUCACGUCAGCUCUUUGAUUCAGAAGACCUUAGACUAUAGAAACAUCUCACAUGCAAACGAGAGGGGUGAUCAUUUUUAAAAAGAAACAAACGUAAACUCUUCCAUUUAAAGCACAAGGAGGUCAUAAUUAUACGCAAUCUUUGGACUAUUUGUGAAUCUUAUAAUGUCUUAUAAUGCCAAUAUUUGUUUUUAUUCUGUUUAUUUUGGUUUUCUUGGUAUUCAUUCCCUCUUCUGUGCCAGAGAAACAAAGAAAUAUUAACUGUAAAUAUCAGCUUAGCUGUUGAACCACAUUGUCUUUGAACAUUCACCCAUCACUAAAUUGACCGAAUCAUAUUUUCAGGCCAGCAGUAUUUGCAACAAGGCUUAUAACAACCUAUAUGCCUAUAUUAGCCUUCAUUAUUUUCUCAUCUAAUCCAUUCUGUAUCAUAUUACCCAGAAAUUUCCCAGAAAUUCAGAACUCAUUCACAUUGUCUUUCUUGAACAACCAGCAAUGUGUAAAAUGGAAAUCUGUUCAGCUUUCUAUCAUAACAUGUAGCCCAACUGCUAAAUAUUUACAUUUGAGAACCUACGAUGAAAAAUAUUUAUAACUAAAUAUUUCCGUUAAACCGACUGGUUCUGGUAUCUUUGUUUUUAGCAAAAUAAAUCCUUGAUAAAUCAUAAUGCUGUGUUAUAUUGGUCAUGAAAUAUUUCAAUAUUACCAUUGAGCAGUCCUGCUGCUCAUGACGUUUUAAUAUAACUGUGUCUAAUGUAAAAGGCAGCUGUGUAUGAAUGGUACUGUGAAAUCUGGUAAUAAAGAUGGAAAGUUUAUUGGG